CCCUCUUGAUCUGAUCCAUGAGCGACUCGUGGCACACUUUGGGGUCAGGCUGCAAUACAAAUUAAUUUCAAUCAAUUAAGCUUUCGUUUUUCAAAAUAAUGUAAAAAAAACUGCAAAUUCGGUGGUGAUUGGUUUUAAAAAAAAUGGUUGCUUUCGCAUAACAGUUAACACAAAGCAAACAAAAAAAUACAGACAAAUAGAACACUAAAUUCUCAAUAAUAAGACAUAAACAUUGCAAAAUUUUUAUCGUAAACUAUACAUGAGUAAAAAAAAUUCAAACUUUUACCAGUUUGCACUCUGUCCCAUAUUUUUC